GAUAAACGCUGGCGGCGUGCUUCAGGCAUGCAAGUCGAACGGACCUUCGGGUCAGUGGCGGACGGGUGAGUAACACGUAAGUAACCUGCCCAGAAGUGGGGAAUAACUAGCCGAAAGGCUGGCUAAUACCGCAUGUGAUGGUUGUUCUCUGGAGCAAUCAUGAAAGGCGAAAGUCGCUUCUGGAGGGGCCUGCGGCCGAUUAGCUAGUUGGUGGGGUAAUAGCCUACCAAGGCUUCGAUCGGUAGCUGGUCUGAGAGGACGGACAGCCACACGGGGACUGAGAUACGGCCCCGACUCCUACGGGAGGCAGCAGUGGGGAAUUUUGGACAAUGGGGGCAACCCUGAUCCAGCCAUGCCGCGUGAGUGAAGAAGGCCUUCGGGUUGUAAAGCUCUUUCGGCCGGGAAGAAAUCGCAUAGGUUAAUACCCUGUGUGGAUGACGGUACCGGAACAAGAAGCACCGGCUAAC
rnacentral:rRNA from 1 species